UACCAACUUUGUGACUUUACGUGACUUUAAGACUACCAAAAACUAAAGACGAAAAGGAAGAACCGUCUGAAGGCCAAGAACUUUUCCGAAUAAGAACAGGUACCUGCUAUGAGCGUGUUGGCAUGACGGAAGGAAAGCGUCAUAAGUAAGAUGUUAAUAACGGCUUGUUCAAAUAAGUUAAGUCAAUCAACCUACCGAAUAUUACAGAAGAUACGUUCGUAAGGACAAGAUUGAUGACGAGACCUGUUCCUAAAUAGACUUUUCUGUCACCGUGUCUUGGGUCUUUAAAAUGAAAUGACGGUCCGACCUUCCGAAAAUUAGGUUUUAAUACUCAAGAAUUUGAGUAGGAAAGUGAAAAGACGUCAAAGACCGAUAUACCCCUUUGAAACGACGAAAGAUGAUGUAGUAUUUAAAGACAUAGUCGUCAAGUCGUGGUAUGGUUGACGACCCUACAUGUGAUAGUACAUGGCGGAAACAUCUGUCGGCGGUAUGACCUAUUGUUACGACGAUUAGUCACCUCAACCGUACCCAGGACAUUAUCGAGACUCUAUAAAGUCUACAUGUAUGUCAGGAUCACGAUAAUUGUGAGAAGUCUUCCGGCUCGCUAGUGCACCGGUUACAUUAGACCUUAGAGUUGACUCUAGUCACUUGCUAUUAAGCUGGUCGAUAGCUCGCUGCUACGACUAAGGCGCCUGGUGCAGAUCCUGACCCUGUUCUUAGCGGGUGGCCGGUGGCGUGGCGGACAAGGUGCAAGAGUAGGUGCGCAAGCAGCACCGAGCGCCAGGGAGCGCCUGUGCCAGUCGCUAGUUGCCGUUGGAGCGGUGUGUGUCCCGUAGUGUAGCGUACCGGGCAGCGCUGGGCUCGUUGGAUCUUUAAAGGGCCAGGCAAGCGCGGGUGGGCAGGCGGUCGCGCCGCUUCGGCACAGGCCAUUCCUUUCCUUGGCCAACCGCGGUCCGGCGGAGGGGGAGGGGGUGGCGGAGGCGCCGCCGAUAUUUUGCGCGGGUCCACGCGGGAGAGGAGGGGCGCGAGGCCAGGGCAGGGAGGAGGCUGGAAAGAGCCGUAAGCUUAGGCCGGGCACAGGAGGCGGAGGCACGCUCGAGCCCUUCGCUAGCUAGCCCCCUAAGUAGGUGAACACCGGAGGCAAACCAAACGCUAAGAUAGAGACUUAGACAAAACACACAGGCGAAGACAAACGUUGACGCCUAGGACACAAGGAGCAUAAGCAUAAGCGUAGGCGCGCGCAACCAACGUCCUAGCAGCUCGGACCAAAAGCCUUAACCUCGAGAUUUAACACCUCGACCUCCGGCUCCGUUCUACAACCUUAGUGUGCCGAAUCGCCCACCGGGUCAAAAGGGAGCCGUGCCGCUCCGCAUAGCACGAGCAACGUCUAAAUAAAAUCGGGUCUCUCACGACCAUCGGUAUAAAUCCUUCAAACACGAAUACCCGUUUAGAGACAUGUCACUCAGUCCAGUCACAAGAUAGUUGCCAAACAAACCAAAUCAACACAAGGAGGUGUGUAACCAACGUCCUAACCUAGACCUUACACCUCUAGGGAAACCACAAGUCUACGUCCUCACAUCAUAAAGACGUGUCUACUUAGUAUCCCACCUCCAGCAUCAACUACUUGAGUUCAGGUUGGACUAACUCGGGUUUGGUACGACCAAGUAAAGAGGAUUGGUUUUUAAAUAUCUCUUCCGGAGAACGAGCGACGUCCAACAUCAACUUCUUGAGGAAAGGUUGGGCCAAAAACGGGGACGGGAAGGAUACCAACGUCUAACAAGAAAUCGGGUCCGGUACACCCGUUACUGAUCGAGAGGUACCAACAAUGUGAACUAGGGACACGAGAGAACCAGAAGACGCUCACAGCCAACCGUUCUAUAUUAUCAAUCCUCAAACCCGGGUUUGGAAACGAGACAUGUACCUCAGUCCCAUGAACUCCGUCCAGUCAAAGGGUACAAACCAGUGUAACUAAAUGACCUAAGGAGUAGACACGAACCACUGCAGUCUAAACUCACCGAGAUGGAAUUCAAGGACCAAAUACAAACAGACUACCGACAAACCCUCGAAGCAAGACCUACCUCCUCAGAAGGAGCUGGUGUUUUUGAAUUUGGACCUGAGGUACGAACAAAGUUGACU
rnacentral:rRNA from 1 species